ensembl:lncRNA
CAACACACUAAAAAACAGAACAACAGUUGGUCUUCUGGUGGACAGAGAUCUGAUAUUUAACAAACUCCAGACUAUUCUAGUUCUUUUACACCCUUCAACCGUAUUAUAUACUGCCAGUACUACUACAGGUGAAGUAACACACAAAUCUGGGUUUAAUUUAGACAUGAUAACAAGUUGAUGCAACGCAGUUAAAUCAACACAACUCACUGGAAUAAUAGUUUAUUCAUUAGAACUUUACUGGAGUGGUUCAUGUUCACUGUAGGUCUACGGGCACACACACACUAUAAUACACACUAACACACACUGACACACACACUAUAACACACACUAACACACACUGACACACACACUACAACACACACUAACACACACAUGCACACUCACGCACACUAACACACACACUAUAAUACACACCAACACACUAACACACACGCACACUAACACACACACUAUAACACACACCAACACACACAAACACACACGCACACUAACACACACACUAACACACGCUAACACACACGCACACUAACACACACACUAUAACACACACCAACACACACUAACACACUCUCUCUGACUCUCUCUCUCUCGGUAGAGGAGGCGGACUCCUCCAUCUGCCCUGCCCGGUGACCGAGCGUCCUCCUCGGACUCUCGAUCUCAGCCACCGUCUCCCGCCGAACAGCAGCGUCUCCGAGGCGGAUGAAGAACCGGAGGAUGGAGCGGAGCGGCACCGGAGAGGCACCGGAGAGAUCCGCGGUCUAUAUAUAGGCUCUGCCCCGGACUGCACCACCAGCAGCCGCCACCUGCCCUCCCCGGUACCGGUCACUACAGCUCCCAGCAUGCUUUGCUGCUCACCUCCACAUGUUCCACACUCGCUUAUUUUAGCCUCACCACCUCCCUGCAGCGAGGAGUUCUGACUGCAGCGCUCCGUCACACACACACACAGACACACACAGACACACACAGAUACACACAGACACACACAACACAGACACACACAGAUACACAACAUAGACACAAUAUAGACACAACACAGACACACACUGAUACACAACAGAGACACACAGAUACACAACACAGACACACACAGAUACACACAGAUGCACACACACACAACACAGACACACACAGAGACGCAACAUAGACACAAUAUAGACACAACACAGACACACACUGAUACACAACGGAGACACAGAUACACACAACACAGACACACACAACACAGACACAACAUAGACACAAUAUAGACACAACACAGACACACAACACAGACACACACAGAUAUACACAACAUAGACACAAUAUAGACACAACACAGACACACA